CGCUGCCCGGUGCAGUCGCCGAGCGGCGCCGCGCUUUCUAUGAGGGCCCGUCGCUUGCUGGUCCUACCCGCGCUCUCCGCCCUUGCACUGGCCCGGCGGCUGGCGCGAGCCGACGUCGCCUUGGUCUCGCCCUCCGCGAAGGCGGCCCGACCUGGCCUUCACAGGCGCUUUUGCCCACUAAGGUCAUAGAGGGGCUUGAGGCGUCACCGGCCCUUCUCAGAGGCCCUCGCUACACCCGCUCCAUUACCCUAAUUUCUCUGGACUCCAGGGAUGCUCUGGGGACAGGAUAGACGCGGUCCCUGCAGCCACGAAACCCCCUGCUUGCAAAUCGUUGGAAUUGAGAAUCUCAAAGCAAAGUAGAGAAAGAACUACAACACGUGAUCAUUGCUAUGAGCGAAACAUGAUUACGUAGAGAGAAAAGCCCAUUUUAGGUGUAUGCUGGGCAAAUCACUCUACCUGAUGGGAUCCCCGCACAGGACCUGUCAUUUCCCUGCCUGGACGCUGCUGUGAAGACUCAGGAUGGACUAAAUGGAACCCACGGAUUCCUAGACGCUGCUCCCAGGAACCUUUGGGCUAUUUGGGGUGAACAUUUGCAGUGUUUGAACUUAUGGUCCCUCUCCCGCUUUCCACAGACAACGUUGCCAGACAUAUUAUGGUUCCAUAAAUAUUUGAGCAACUUUUAAUAUGUCGAAAUCUUCAGAUUCAGAGACAGGAAGAAGAACAGCGCCCAGCUGCUCCCAGCCUCCAACCCUGGCGGAACUCAGCAAGCCUGUGCAGGGGGCUGGCAGGUGUAAAAGGCACUCUUACCGUUGAGGAUUCGUCAGGAUUUCCUUCCAGCUCACAUUCUGCAAUAGAUUUAAAUGCUUAAAAUGCUUUCACAGCCCCUCAUCACCUAUACGGUGAAAUUCAAGUUCCUUAGCACAAUCUAGAAGCCCCUUCGUGGUUUGGAGGUGGCCUAACUGAUCAGGUUCAACCGCCUCUCCUUCUUGCCUGGAACUUGCGAAUUCAGAGCAUUUGUGGGUCCCAGUUGUUUCAUGUUUUUCCUAAAAUGUCUUUCUCUCCCAGCUAACUAUUAUUUAUUUAUUUAUUUUCAGCUAUCCUUUAGACUUUAGUCCGGUCCUUCGGAAAUACCUGCUCUUCCUGCUGGGUCACACAACCUUGCAUCAGAGUGCCGAUGUGUAACACGUUGCUAGGGUCGUCUGAACAAUUUCCAUGCUGCCUUGUCAUUACUGACAGAUAGGCCUGUCUCCUCCGGCCCAGUGUGGUGAUUAAGAGGUUUCUAGGGAUUCUAGAACAGAUGAGUUUGCAGCAUGGCUCCGCAUUCUGGAUCUGGGGCUGCUUCUAUAACCUUCUCACAGCUCGUCUGUAAAGCAGGGGGUGAUACUGCUAUGGGCAUUGUAUGGGGAUGGAACUUAAACAUAAAUGUUACAUAAGGUAACAUAACAACUGAUGGUCAUGUGAGCCAAGCCCUGUUCUAAGUAUGUUAAGUGAUUUAACUCUUUUGAUCUUCACAACCACCCUGUGAAAGUGUUAUCAACAUUCUUAUUGUGGAAAUGAGGAACCCCAGUCACAGAGGACACCGAGUGACUUUCUAGGGUCACCCUGCCCGGCUAGGAAUGGUGCCUGAACCCAAGCUGUCAGAUUGCAGCGAUCACACCGUGCUAUGGUGGCCCUCAGGAGGAACCCUGGAAACGCCACCUUCUUCAUCAACGAGGGCAGGUCCCGGGCCAUUGUCCAACGCACAGAGGAAACGUAAGUGCUCACAUAGCUGUGGACCUAGCAUGACCUUCCCAUCUCCCCGGCCCUUGCACUUCAACUUCUAGCAGGCCAUCUGCUUCCAGGGGAGCUGAGAUCCCUCCCCUAUCCCAGAAUGUUGCCUCUUGAUCACUGUUGGUGCACAGACGUCUUGCUGAAGGUUCGUAGGGAAGUUGGUUCACCCAGCACUUAGUCACUGCGCACAGACUGAAGGCACAUCCUGAAUGGUGAAAAUUGGAAUUCCUGUGGCUUCCCGCACAGUGGAGCGUCCCAAAGAGCCCCCUGACCUGGGACAGGCGGGCCCUGGCUGGUGCUCAGAAAUAAUCUGCCACUUCUC